rnacentral:lncRNA from 1 species
GGUAAUUUCUAUCUUCUCGUCUCUCACGUUUUUCUCUUCUUUCUGUUAAUUUUCUCGGAAAAUCUCCAGAAAUUCUGUUUCUGUCUCGAGACCUUUAUUUAUUUAUUUUUACAAUUUUUUUUUGCUCCUAGAUCACAUAAUUCUAAAUUUUGGUUAAUCUGACACACGAUCUCUGUUUUUUGUUUUUGGAUUUGUACAGUUGCAAAAUGUACCCAGACUUGGAGAGCACCACCACCGAGACGCUUGUCCUCGGCGUUGCUCCGGCCAUGAGCUCUCAGUACGAGGCUUCCGGCGAGACUUUCGUCGCCGAGAACGAUGCCUGCAAGUGCGGAUCUGACUGCAAGUGCAACCCUUGCACCUGCAAAUGAACAACUCCUCUCAUGAACCCUAAACCCAGUGUCUUGUCUGUAAUAACCCUAAUGUUAUGUUAGGUUUCGUUAUGUGUAAUAAUGGCUCAUUUCGCCGGUAGUUUUACCGGAGAACGUUGGUCUUU